GCUGAAGUGCCUUGAACUGGGCUUGCAUUAUGGGAAAUCCCAAGAACUGGAACGAGACUUCUUGCAAUGAAAAACACUCCAUGGGGAAGUAGAGAGGCUCUCAACCACACCCUGGAAAAUAACUCAUGCUAAACUGGACCAACCUCUACACAAGUCUGAACACCUUCAGUUCUCACAGAAGUCCAGUCACUCCCACUUACUUAGAAAGAAUCAAGAGACACAAAGAAAAGCCUACUCUACACCCCAAACAAGCAGUCCAGAGCAUGGAGGGAGAACAGAGGAACUGUAUUGUUGCAGUGAGCCAAACAGGUCGUAUUGAAGAGGAGUGUAGGAGCGCUGGAAAGUGGCCAACUUCAGCAUUCACACAGCAAACAUGAAACAAUCAUAGGUACUAAAGAGAGUUGUACUGUGGACUCCCAGG
rnacentral:lncRNA from 1 species